UUUGCAAGUAUAAUGAAGAAACAGUGAAUGAACUCAAUAAACAUCACAAAUUGAUUCCUUCAACGGAAGCACAGAAUAUUUGUGUGGUUUUGGAUUUGCUGGAAAAGAUUUUAGGCCGUAACAAACUGACAAGGAUUGCAGAUUCUUCCCUGGCAGGAUGGUCAAAAGUUCGGGAGUAUGAGUUGAACGACGUCGCACAGCAAGGUCGAGAAGAAAAUUCACCAGGCGGAGAGCCGAGUCACGCGCACGAUGAAAGAAAUGUCUAACAAGCGUCCCGCUCCGUAUUUCAAUACACCAAGAUUGCCACCAGCCGAAACCUAUCCUAAUUCUGCUUACACUCAUAUGUUUCAGAGGCAGCCCUUUCGUUACCUUUUCGCUCGGAUUGAGCCGUGCCAUUGGGACAUGUGUUUCCUUUGUAAGCAGUUUGGGCAUUGGACAAAAAAUUGCCCCCUCAAAUCAGGAUUCGUUGGUGCCAGAUCGUCAGGAGUUGCCAAUCAGAAAUAAAUCUCCAGAUACAUCCAGAAAUACACGUUGAAAUAUGGCAAUCAUUGUCCAGCAACAUUCAUCCUAGCAUGCUUACACAACUGGUACAUAAACUUCUAGAUUAUAUUCUCUUGUCAAAGGCGGACAUCAUUAGAGAGAAGUUAUUGUGUAUAAUUGUAAUACUAUGACGAGACAGCGGCUGCGGAUAUGCAGUUAUAAUACAUGAACACUAGUAUUAUUUGUAAAGAAAUUUAUAAAUGCUGUACUGUAUUAUUCAGGCGAGCUGAUAUCUCAAACAGUGUUUGGUUUUAUUUUUUAAAUAGUUUAUGUUCUUUUGAGUAGACGAACAAGAACAUAAAUUGUACAUCAAUUUCACGGACGUGGUUGAUCUGUUUAGAAAAUAAAUAAAUAAAGAAAGUACAAUAUCAAUAAAUGUC